CUAGGGUACGGGGAUAUGUAUCCACGGACUUGGUCAGGCAUGCUGGUAGGAGCCCUGUGCGCGCUGGCAGGGGUGCUCACCAUAGCCAUGCCUGUGCCUGUGAUAGUUAACAAU
rfam:Tauraco erythrolophus contig5298, whole genome shotgun sequence.